ACAGAGAGGUAGAAGCAAGAGAAGCAUAAACAUAUAAUUUCAAUGCAAUAUGGUCCAGCUAUGCAUCACCCCUUCGCUGAUGAGCCUUAAGAAAAUCCAAAUUUAUAAAUUGCUGGGUCUAUCUCUCUUGCCAUCCAGAAAAGUCAGAGCAACUGGUCUUGCUGGUUUUAAGUGUUGCCUGUGUUUCUGGCAUUGGUCACAAAGCCUACUGCCUGCUAAUCGGCAAGUGGACCUGUUUCUCUAACAAUG
rnacentral:lncRNA from 1 species